ACCCGGUGGGAUUUCUGCGCUGGGAGCGAGAGCCAGGACAGCGACAGGUGAGAGCAGGGACACGGGACACGGGACAGGGACAGGGACAGGGACAGGGACACAGCUCCCGGUAAGCGUGUCCCGCCAGGUGAGCCCCGGGCUGCGCACGCCGCGGGUGCCCGUGUGGCUGUGCAGUGUCUCGGGCAGGCACGGCGUGCUCUUCGGCACCGACAGCCGGCUGCUCUCCGACUGGAAAUCCGAGAGAAUUUUCCACCUGUACUUCUGCAGUGGGCAGCAGGAGCAGACCCGAACUGCCCACCUGACGAUAGACACUCAUUCGCAUCACUGGGAAGAGGCUCAAAGAGAAGGCCCCUGCAGCCCAGGGAGGAGGCGCCCAGCCCUGGAGAUGGCAAUCAGGACCAAGUGGGCAGGUGCAACCAUCAGCUGGAACGGGACAGACCCCUUCUUUUGAGGAGUGAGCACAAUGGACCCCUGCUCCUGAAGGAGCAUCUAGCACACAUUACCAACUCCACUGGUCACUGCAGUCUGGGGGACAAAACCUCUCUCCCCAGACAAACAGCCUUUGGUGCACUGAAGGGACACCCUGCCCACAAGGCAUCACACCUUCACUGGGGGAACAGCCACCUGCAGCCCUGUCCCACUGCACACCCUCUUCAGGUGCUAGGAUGCAGGAAAGAGUCAAGUCCCCGCACAGCUGCCUGGAAGCAUUUAAAAGCUGCGCAGAUUGGGAUGGGAUGUGUGAUUUGGGAACUUGGUUUAGCGGUGGCCUUGGCAGUGCUGCGGUAAUGGUCGGACCUGUUGGGUCUUAGAGGGCUUUUCCAACCCAAACUGUUCUGGGGUUCUAUGAUUCAGGGAUUUUGCUGCCACUGCCAAAUCCUGGCACCCCACAUUAGCCUGACAAGCGUGCGCAGGGCACAUUGCUUCCAGCUCACAGAAACCACUGUCCACUUCCUUUUUCACUGCCAUUACUCCAAAACGACCUGUCAGUCACACCCUUAACGUGUUGCUAAUGACAACUAACAAUAAACCUUCUGCAAGUGAUCCA
rnacentral:lncRNA from 1 species